GUCCACGCCGUAAACGUUGGGCACUAGGUGUGGGCCUCAACCAACGAGGUCCGUGCCGUCGCUAACGCAUUAAGUGCCCCGCCUGGGGAGUACGGCCGCAAGGCUAAAACUCAAAGGAAUUGACGGGGGCCCGCACAAGCAGCGGAGCGUGUUGCUUAAUUCGAUGCAACGCGAAGAACCUUACCUGGGCUUGACAUGUAGGGAAAAGCCGUAGAGAUACGGUGUCCUUCGGGGCCUUACACAGGUGGUGCAUGGCUGUCGU
rnacentral:rRNA from 1 species